rnacentral:tRNA from 1 species
GCACGCGUAGCUCAGCUGGAUAGAGCAUCGGCCUUCGAAGCCGAGGGUCGCAGGUUCGAAUCCUGCCGCGUGCG